UUUGAUCCUGGCUCAGGAUGAACGCUGGCGGCGUGCUUAACACAUGCAAGUCGAACGGACUCAUAUUGAAACCUAGUGAUUUAUGAGUUAGUGGCGGACGGGUGAGUAACGCGUGGAAAACCUGCCGUAUACUGGGGGAUAACACUUAGAAAUAGGUGCUAAUACCGCAUAAGCGCACAGCUUCGCAUGAAGUGGUGUGAAAAACUCUGGUGGUAUACGAUGGUUCCGCGUCUGAUUAGCUUGUUGGCGGGGUAAUGGCUCACCAAGGCGACGAUCAGUAGCCGGCCUGAGAGGGUGAACGGCCACAUUGGGACUGAGACACGGCCCAAACUCCUACGGGAGGCAGCAGUGGGGAAUAUUGCACAAUGGGGGAAACCCUGAUGCAGCGACGCCGCGUGAGUGAAGAAGUAUUUCGGUAUGUAAAGCUCUAUCAGCAGGGAAGAAGUAGCGACCUUUGGGUCGCCAGACGGUACCUGACUAAGAAGCCCCGGCUAACUACGUG
rnacentral:rRNA from 1 species